UCUGGUGAUGAUGGCGAAGAGGUCACACCCGUUCCCAUACCGAACACGGAAGUUAAGCUCUUCAGCGCCGAUGGUAGUUGGGGUUUUCCCCCUGUGAGAGUAGGACAUCGCCAGGC
rnacentral:rRNA from 1 species